GGCGAGGUGCGAGAGCGGUUUAAUCGGGCAGUUUCGAAAACUGCUAUGGUCGCAAGGCCAUCGUGAGUUCGAAUCUCACCCUCGCCG
rnacentral:tRNA from 1 species